rnacentral:RNase_P_RNA from 1 species
GGCCCCUAGCGGAGGGCUCACGGCGUAAGCUGAGGAAACUCCAGCCUCCGAGCCCCAGAGAGGCCCCUUGAGGGGCGUGGGUAGUCCCUACGGCAACGGCACAGAAACGAGACCCGCUGAAGGCGCAGAUGAAAAUGAAGCCGAAGGCUCAAGGCGACUUGAGCCUUAAGCGGAUUAAGCCCUUCAGCGGGCUGAAACGGCCGUCCCUCUCGGAGCAAGUGGGGCCGAGAUGAGGUGGGGCUCGAUCGGCUCCAGAACGCAUAGUCGGAUGCCCUCAAAUACAGAAGCUGGGUUACAGCUAGGGGCC